AAGCCAUGUUUACCUUGUUGCGAUACGACACUGUGAUAUUUGGUGUCGUGGUGUCGUUGAACGUAGCUCAGCGCGUGGGAGUAGUGUUGGUAGACGACAUACUGCUCUUUAAUUAUUAGUUACGCAAAUAACGCGAAAGAAGAUAGAAUCGAUCGGCAGGAUGACAGCACUGACGCAGGAUGAGAUUGUGGGCAGCACGCGCACGGUGGUGCAAGGCCUGGAUGCCCUGCGCAAUGAAACACAAUGUCAUCCUCACAGGCCUUAUGUCUUCACUGAAGGCCAUCAAGAAGGACAAAAGCUGAUUCAAACCUGAUGGAGGAGAAGACUUCUAUCCUGCAGAAGAACAUAGAGGAUGAUAGAAC